UAGGCAAGAGCCAACAGCAAAUACAAUUCGAAGAGCAGAAUCUGGAUCUAGAACUUAUGAUCUUGACUCCUUUGCCUAGCUUAU
rnacentral:tRNA from 1 species